rnacentral:rRNA from 1 species
ACGAACGCUGGCGGCGUGCCUAACACAUGCAAGUCGAGCGGAGACAGUGAGUAGCUUGCUACGAACUGUUUUAGCGGCGGACGGGUGAGUAACGCGUGAGCAACCUUUCCCAGACAGGGGAAUAACACACCGAAAGGUGUACUAAUACCGCAUAAGACCACGGGAUCACAUGGUUCUGAGGUAAAAGAUUUAUCGGUUUGGGGUGGGCUCGCGUCCGAUUAGGUAGUUGGUGAGGUAACGGCCCACCAAGCCGACGAUCGGUAGCCGACCUGAGAGGGUGAUCGGCCACAUUGGGACUGAGACACGGCCCAAACUCCUACGGGAGGCAGCAGUGGGGAAUAUUGGGCAAUGGAGGAAACUCUGACCCAGCAACGCCGCGUGGAGGAAGAAGGUUUUCGGAUCGUAAACUCCUGUCCUUGGAGACGAGUAGAAGACGGUAUCCAAGGAGGAAGCCCCGGCUAACUACGUGCCAGCAGCCGCGGUAAUACGUAGGGGGCAAGCGUUGUCCGGAAUAAUUGGGCGUAAAGGGCGCGUAGGCGGCUCGGUAAGUCUGGAGUGAAAGUCCUGCUUUUAAGGUGGGAAUUGCUUUGGAUACUGUCGGGCUUGAGUGCAGGAGAGGUUAGUGGAAUUCCCAGUGUAGCGGUGAAAUGCGUAGAGAUUGGGAGGAACACCAGUGGCGAAGGCGACUAACUGGACUGUAACUGACGCUGAGGCGCGAAAGUGUGGGGAGCAAACAGGAUUAGAUACCCUGGUAGUCCACGCCGUAAACGAUGUCGACUUGGAGGUUGUGCCCUUGAGGCGUGGCUUCCGGAGCUAACGCGUUAAGUAGACCGCCUGGGGAGUACGGCCGCAAGGUUGAAACUCAAAGGAAUUGACGGGGGCCCGCACAAGCAGCGGAGCAUGUGGUUUAAUUCGACGCAACGCGAAGAACCUUACCAGGUCUUGACAUCCACUUAAACUUACAGAGAUGUAAGGUGUGCUUGCACAAAGUGAGACAGGUGGUGCAUGGUUGUCGUCAGCUCGUGUCGUGAGAUGUUGGGUUAAGUCCCGCAACGAGCGCAACCCUUAUCUUCAGUUACUAACGCGUAGAGGUGAGGACUCUGAAGAGACUGCCGGGGACAACUCGGAGGAAGGUGGGGACGACGUCAAAUCAUCAUGCCCCUUAUGACCUGGGCUACACACGUGCUACAAUGGCCACGACAGAGAGAAGCGAAAUCGCAAGGUAGAGCGGAACUCAAAAAAGUGGUCCCAGUUCGGAUUGUGGGCUGCAACCCGCCCACAUGAAGUCGGAGUUGCUAGUAAUCGCGGAUCAGCAUGCCGCGGUGAAUACGUUCCCGGGCCUUGUACACACCGCCCGUCACACCAUGGGAGUUGGGAGUGCCCAAAGCCGGUGAGGCAACCGCAAGGAGCCAGCCGUCUAAGGCAAGACCAAUGACUGGGGUG